CCUACGGGUGGCUGCAGUGAGGAAUAUUGGUCAAUGGGCGGAAGCCUGAACCAGCCAAGUAGCGUGCGGGAUGACUGCCCUACGGGUUGUAAACUUCUUUUGUACGGGAAUAAAAUGAUGCACUUGUGCCUUUUUGUAUGUACUUUAUGAAUAAGGGUCGGCUAACUCCGUGCCAGCAGCCGCGGUAAUACGGAGGGGCCGAGCGUUAUCCGGAUUUAUUGGGUUUAAAGGGAGCGUAGGUGGGUCGUUAAGUCAGUUGUGAAAUUUUGCGGGUCAACCGUAAAAUUGCAAUUGAUACUGGCAGCCUUGAGUACACAUCAGGCAGGCGGAAUUCGUGGUGUAGCGGUGAAAUGCUUAGAUAUCACGAAGAACCCCGAUUGCGAAGGCAGCUUACUAAACUGCCACUGACACUGAGGCUCGAAAGUGCGGGUAUCAAACAGGAUUAGAUACCCGUGUAGUC
rnacentral:rRNA from 1 species